rnacentral:rRNA from 1 species
UGUAAGUCUGUGAAGGUGUCUUGUAAAGGAUGCUGGAGAUAUCAGAAGUGCGAAUGCUGACAUGAGUAGCGAUAAAGCGGGUGAAAGGCCCGCUCGCCGAAAGCCCAAGGUUUCCUACGCAACGUUCAUCGGCGUAGGGUGAGUCGGCCCCUAAGGCGAGGCAGAAAUGCGUAGUCGAUGGGAAACAGGUCAAUAUUCCUGUACCGAUUCUAGAUGCGAUGUGGGGACGGAGAAGGUUAGGUCAGCCGGGUGUUGGAUGUCCCGGUUUAAGCGUGUAGGAGUGUCCUGUAGGCAAAUCCGCAGGAAUUAUCUGAGGCGUGAUGACGAGGCACUACGGUGCUGAAGUGAUUGAUACCAAGCUUCCAGGAAAAGCCACUAAGCUUCAGUCUAGAAUUGACCGUACCGCAAACCGACACAGGUGGGCAGGAUGAAAAUUCUAAGGCGCUUGAGAGAACUCAGGAGAAGGAACUCGGCAAAUUGACACCGUAACUUCGGG